CAUCAAAUCGUACCCCAAACCGACACAGGUGGUCAGGUAGAGAAUACCAAGGCGCUUGAGAGAACUCGGGUGAAGGAACUAGGCAAAAUGGUGCCGUAACUUCGGGAGAAGGCACGCUGAUAUGUAGGUGAAGUCCCUCGCGGAUGGAGCUGAAAUCAGUCGAAGAUACCAGCUGGCUGCAACUGUUUAUUAAAAACACAGCACUGUGCAAACACGAAAGUGGACGUAUACGGUGUGACGCCUGCCCGGUGCCGGAAGGUUAAUUGAUGGGGUUAGCGGUAACGCGAAGCUCUUGAUCGAAGCCCCGGUAAACGGCGGCCGUAACUAUAACGGUCCUAAGGUAGCGAAAUUCCUUGUCGGGUAAGUUCCGACCUGCACGAAUGGCGUAAUGAUGGCCAGGCUGUCUCCACCCGAGACUCAGUGAAAUUGAACUCGCUGUGAAGAUGCAGUGUACCCGCGGCAAGACGGAAAGACCCCGUGAACCUUUACUAUAGCUUGACACUGAACAUUGAGCCUUGAUGUGUAGGAUAGGUGGGAGGCUUUGAAGUGUGGACGCCAGUCUGCAUGGAGCCGGCCUUGAAAUACCACCCUUUAAUGUUUGAUGUUCUAACGUUGGCCCCUGAUCGGGGUUGCGGACAGUGUCUGGUGGGUAGUUUGACUGGGGCGGUCUCCUCCUAAAGAGUAACGGAGGAGCACGAAGGUUGGCUAAUCCUGGUCGGACAUCAGGAGGUUAGUGCAAUGGCAUAAGCCAGCUUGACUGCGAGCGUGACGGCGCGAGCAGGUGCGAAAGCAGGUCAUAGUGAUCCGGUGGUUCUGAAUGGAAGGGCCAUCGCUCAACGGAUAAAAGGUACUCCGGGGAUAACAGGCUGAUACCGCCCAAGAGUUCAUAUCGACGGCGGUGUUUGGCACCUCGAUGUCGGCUCAUCACAUCCUGGGGCUGAAGUAGGUCCCAAGGGUAUGGCUGUUCGCCAUUUAAAGUGGUACGCGAGCUGGGUUUAGAACGUCGUGAGACAGUUCGGUCCCUAUCUGCCGUGGGCGCUGGAGAACUGAGGGGGGCUGCUCCUAGUACGAGAGGACCGGAGUGGACGCAUCACUGGUGUUCGGGUUGUCAUGCCAAUGGCACUGCCCGGUAGCUAAAUGCGGAAGAGAUAAGUGCUGAAAGCAUCUAAGCACGAAACUUGCCCCGAGAUGAGUUCUCCCUGACUCCUUGAGAGUCCUGAAGGAACGUUGAAGACGACGACGUUGAUAGGCCGGGUGUGUAAGCGCAGCGAUGCGUUGAGCUAACCGGUACUAAUGAACCGUGAGGCUUAACCUUACAACGCCGAAG
rnacentral:rRNA from 1 species